rnacentral:lncRNA from 1 species
UUUCUUUUCUUCUUCUCUCUAUACGUUGGUGUUCUAACCAAUAAUCACCGAUGCGAUAUUCUACCCGAUCGAUUCGGGAACCAACUAACGAAUGCCGAAGUGCUGUCUAAAUAAGACUAUACUUUGUGAAUUUCGUUAAGGUUCUGAUCUCAUGACCAUCGUUAGGUUUGAUAUGGUUCUACACUAAUACGUAUUCCACUCUGUUAAACUAAAUGUUUAACUAUCAGAAAACUCCGAUCCAAAAACUUACGAUCAAACAAGAUGUUUAAUCAUCAGAAGACUUAGAAUCAAGAUGCUUGUUUAAUCAAGACUAUAUGCUAACAAGCGAUUAAGUCUUUGUUAUCUUAAAUUACUGGUAGUAAGUGGGGUAUUGUGCACAAUGACUAUUGUUUUGUCACUUUUAGGUGAAAGGACCUAAAUAGUAAUACACGUCACUUUUGGGUGAAAGGACCCAAUAGUGGUAUGACCACAGUCAUAGAUCUGGUCGAGUGACAACUGAACCAGCUAAUUAUAAGAUAGGGGCAAUUGUAAUCGCUCUUAAUACUGUAAAUUAUAACAAAUGUGUUUUGUACAAAAAUGAAUGAACUCACCAGUAUUUCCUGCUGACCAAAUGUUUUUAAAACGCGUUUCAGGUGAUUACAGUAGAUUGGAAUAAGAGUGAUGAUACGACACCGAAAGGCUUAAAGAAGUGCUUAUUUUAAAGCUACCGUUGCAAGUAUGGUAAAUAAGCGAUAACACUUGGCCACUGUUAUUUCUUAUUUAUUGGUACUACUUGGUUCUGGAAUAUGAUCCGUCACGUGAAUACUAAUUUCCUUAUUCUUUGAUAAAAGCUCUAAUAAAAGAUUCAUUUUUA